rnacentral:other from 1 species
AUUUCCCUGCCGUGUUCGUAGAUGUGUUUUAAUUUUUGACCCAACACUUCACAAAAGGGAAUCUGAUUUUUAGGUGUGGCUUGGAAUCCCCUUUUCAUAGGGGAAGCAUAAAGCACUUAAUUAGGAGGCCCAUUUUGGAAAUCGGGUUCAAAAGUAGCAUUAUUUACGGCACAGGCGGGGUUUUU